AUGUACCGGCUCCUCGGCCGGACGCUGGGCCGGGGCCUCCUGCGGGCUGCGGGGCGGCGGGGCGGCGCCGGCUUGCCGCGCCUGCUCCCGGGGCCCGGGGUUCCGGCGGCGCCCUCCCGAGCCGCGCCGCCGCACGGCGGGGGCCCGGGCCUGCUGCCGCUGCUGGCAGCGCUGUCCUGGUUCUCGAGGUCCUCCGAGGCGGAGGAGCAGGAGCAGCGGGGAGCGGACGGCGCGGCCGCCGCCGAGGACGCGGCAGACGAGGCCGAGGCCGAGAUCAUCCGGCUGCUGAAGCGGGCCAAGCUGAGUAUCAUGAAAGAUGAGCCGGAAGAGGCCGAGAUGAUGCUGCACGAUGCCCUUCGCCUCGCCUAUCAGAGCGAUAACAAGAAGGCCAUCACUUACACUUACGAUCUGAUGGCCAACUUAGCAUUUAUUCGGGGUCAACUUGAAAACGCGGAACAGCUUUUUAAAGCAACGAUGAGCUACCUGCUUGGAGGGGGCAUGAAGCAGGAAGACAACGCAAUAAUUGAAAUCUCCUUGAAGCUGGCCAGUAUCUAUGCUGCACAGAAUAAACAGGAAUUUGCUCUCGCUGGCUAUGAAUUCUGCAUCUCAACCCUAGAGGACAAGAUUGAGAAAGAAAAGGAGCUGCCAGAAGACAUUAUGUCAGUGGAAGAGAAGACCAAUACCCACCUCCUCCUGGGCAUGUGCUUGGACGCCUGUGCACGCUACCUGCUGUUCUCCAAGCAGCCGUCACAGGCACAGAGGAUGUACGAGAGAGCUCUGCAGAUCUCUGAGGAAAUACAAGGAGAAAGACACCCCCAGACUGUUGUGCUGAUGAGUGACCUGGCUACUACCCUGGAUGCACAGGGCCGCUUUGAUGAGGCUUUUGUUCACAUGCAGAGGGCGUCGGAGCUAGCGAGACAGAUCGACCACCCCGAGCUGCACAUGGUGCUCAGCAAUCUAGCUGCGGUUCUCAUGCACAGAGAACGAUAUACACAAGCAAGAGAGAUCUACCAGGAAGCCCUGAAGCAAGCAGAGCUGAAAAGAGAUGAGGUUUCUGUACAACACAUCAGGGAAGAAUUGGCUGAGCUGUCGAGAAAAAGCAGUCCUUUGACUUAAUUUAUCAAGCUCUAAAUCCGUUUUUGCUGUAGGCAGAGUGAUUCCCAGGAAUAGCUAGUCUCCCAGUCUCUGUGGCACCCAAAUCCAUGGCUUAAAUCCUUGUUCUGUGUCAGGUUGCCUCAGCUUAGCCUUGGUGAAGGACAGGCUGCGUACACUGCCGCUGGUGGUGACCCGUGGUCGGGCGCCGUCUGUGCUGCUCUGGGGGGUGGGUGUGGAAGCCUGCCUGGCAUCACUGCCCUAAGGUUCUGCUCCACUGAUUCGCUGCCCUCUCUUCUCUCACUUUACCAAUAUCUGGCAAACCAGAGCUACCUGUCUCAUGGCAGAGGGGGAUUAUGGUGAGUUGUUUUUCUUACCUAUUUCAUGAAGCACAGGGUGGGACUGAAUGUAUUAAGGAGGAAAAGUGAUGUCUCUUUUUGCUACCAGAAUCAAGCAUGAAAUUUUAAAGUGGGAAUUAGGCCCUUGAAAGUAUGUCACCCAUUUGUUUAUACAUAAAAGUGAACUACACAUAUCUAGUUUUCUAAGUGUUGAAAACUGGGGGUAGAGAUGAGGAGCCAGGCAGCCUCUUGUCAGUGUUAAAGACUUUUGCCACGUCGGUCACGUGAGCUGAGUCGACCGAGGUGAGAUACAUACACCUGGGCCGCACCAGGGACCUGCUGCACAGUAGGCCCUACAGGUGUAGCGUUUUAGAACUGUUGUGCACUGCUGCUGUAGUGAACCACUGAUCAGGACCCCAGUCCCUCAUCUGUAAAGGGAGGAACACAGGAGGUUGUGUCAGAUGAGUGCACGUGACUAGGCCGCUGUGCUGCCAGGGUUUUAUCACACUGCCUCGGUGUAUCCGUGCCAGAUACACGGGCGGAUGCUCCUAUCACAGCGGUCUUGCAAAUCGCAAUGGUCUAGAGCCAGUUUUUCUAGGUCCCAUGAAGAAACACUGAUAUUGUUGGCAUUCCUGGGGGAGGGGGAGUGAGUGGGACUGAAACUGAUAUUUUUGGUUCAUAUGUAGAAUCUUUUCUUAAUAAACUAGAAACUAUACAAUAUUACAUGUAUUCCAGUAAUCUUUGAGUUUCUCAGAAAAAUUCCUACUGCAGAGUUAAUGAAAAUACUAGAAACUCAGGUAUAAAUCCUCAAGGAUUUGACUAAAACUAGAAUUUUAUAUUUUACAGAUGUAAAUUUCUACCCACUUUAUAUCUAAGUUCAUCUAUUAGCUAUCACCCACCUUAUUCUUUUAAUCAAGUCUAACUCAAAUAAGAUUAACAAGUGAGAUUGUAUUUCAGUGCAACCCAGUCUUAAUUUCUUGGAAAUAGAACAAUUGGUGGCAGCCACUAACCUCCUGCAUCGAGCAUGUUCGCUGCACGGUUACUGAAAGCUGGGUUUUUCACUCCAAGUUUUAUUUAAGAAAACUCAGUCCUUCACAGUGAUUCACUUCAUGGUCCCGCUGCUGGGUGAACUCAAGUCGUUUUCAGAACGACAGCCCAGUCGCGUAGUUCACUUGCACUGUUGUGAAACAACAGGAGAACGGACCCCCUUUACUGGGUUGGUCUGAAUUGUUUAAAACAGUGCAGUUUGAAAUUUGGAAAUGUAUUUCAUCACUGGAGUUUUCAGGACAUAAAUAUUUUAAACAUAGAAUCACUGAGCGUACCAAAAUUAAACAAGAAGUUCCCAAUCUUAAACAUGCACUGGAAAAUUGGCUGUCAGAAUACUUCUUUUAGCAGUAUUAGGAAGACCUGAAUUGUGUUCUGGGUGUGAAACAGAUCAUAAAGAUGCAGCAUCGGAACAGUGACGCCUCAGCCUGCAAAGCUCACACGCUGAUCUGCAGCUCACCGCGGGGGCAGUCGCUCCGAGUGCUCUGCUUGCUGUGGACAGCAGGGUGAGGUGAACCCGCCCUUCCACACGGAUGCACCAUCAGGAGGGCUGCAGGAGUGACCUUCUGUUCUCAAAAACCAUCCUGGCUCUGAGUCACAGUUAAAUACAAUCAUAAUCAUUUCUGGGGUCAGCUGGCAAGAUAAAUUAGUAACAAAUUCUAAAAUACUACCAGUACCUGAAAAAAAAAUUUUGGCAGUAAACUGUUAAGUGGAACAUUUGCUUAUUAUCUUUAUGUGAAAAUUGCAUGGGUGUGAAUACUAUUUUAAAGAUACCAACUUGCCAAACAAUGGGAACUCUGACCAUGAAACCUGACCUGAAGCUUAUUUUAAAAACCUGAAGUAUACAGGAGUGGACCAGUGACAGGAGUGAAGGCUUUCACUCCAGAUACAUGUGGGCUUAUGGCUUACCUUUGCCACUCUAUGGGUAAAGGAUGGACACCUGUGUCUCCAUCGCUACACUAGGGAUUAGACAGCAUCCUUACAGGCCAUCUGAGGGGCUGGCUCAGUGCAUAGCUGGGAGCUGCUGUCUUAAGAGACCCGAGUGCUGCUUAAAAGUCUUAGGUCUGCUUAGAAGUCUGUAAAGUGCUAAUCCUUAUCCUCCUUCUAGCCCUCUGAUCACUCCCCUACCCAGUUACCAGUGGCAUUCUCCCCAGAACAUUACUACAGAUAGACUAUGGAAGGAUGCUCACAUGCUGUGAUUAAAUUAUACUUGAAGAAUCUGAGGAUUCAACGAGUUCUUAUGAAGACUAAAAAACUGACCCUGUAGUACCACACUUAGUUUCCAGUUCAUUCAAUUAUUUACAUCUUGAUAAUCUAUGAAAUGAAAACAUUCAACAGUACUCUCGUCCCGAGGAAGCUCCGCAGGCACAGACUGGGGCCCGGAAGGUGUCCUCUGAGCGAGCUGUCCAGGCAGCAGGAAGCACAGCUCUGUGAUGGAGAUGCUACACAGACCAUUGUCUUUGGACUCAGCCAAUCACAGACAUCAAACUAAAGAAAAUCUCAUUUACUAGUGGCUGGACGGGACUGCUCACCUGUUGAAGAUGGCCUGUCUUCCCAGGCCCACCCUGGCGUCUGCCUGUGGUAGUCCCCCUCGGAAUGCACAGAGGAGACCGAAGAGGGCCGUUCACUUCCCAGGGGGAAGCAAGCAGAGGAGUUACAGCAUCCUCAACACAACCAGGGGAAAACCUGGAAUAGAAAUCUGUGCCACCACCAGGACCUCAGCAGAGGCUCUGCUUUCUCUAGCUGAUGUCUGCAGUGGCGCCUCUCAGGAGCUAAGCAGCAGUGGCUUCCUGGCUGAUGGCACCUGAAGGACUCUGAGGCCUUCCUUUUUGUCCUGUCCUUUUCUACGGCUUAGUUUCAAUUCUGUUAUACUGAAGCUAUCAUUUUUACUAGAAUAGUAAGUCACUUUUAUUUACAAACAGAAUGUGAGGUUGUACUUGGACUGCAGUUCCAGUGUGUGUGUACGGACAGGACUAGAUGCAGACAAAAGCAGAAGCUGCAAUGCCGAAGCAGGUAACCUGCUGGGUAAAAACGUUCUUUCUGCUCCUGUUGCUGUGUCUGGGCAAAGUGUCAGAGAUCUCAGUGAAGUCACUUAGUGAUGCACCAGAACUUAGAAAGUGAAGUAGCUUUUUCCCCGAAAUGGCAGAGAUCACUGAAAUGAAAAAUUACCUGAAUGAGGUGAUGGGUCCCCUUCCUCUCUCCGUGUCUCACUACUGGUCACAACUGACGUGCUGGCGCCACCAGGCACUACUCCCACAGUCUGCGACAGGACCACUCCGUGCUCCUCUACUUUGUCAUCAAAGCUCCCCAUGAGUGCCUUCCUGAUAAUGUCUUCUAGACCAAGAUUACUGGCAGGAUCAGCAAAAGAAUGGCCUCGAGAGCUAACUGAGCCUGGAAGAGACAACCAGAAGCAUUUCCACUCGAUUCCAAGAGGCAGAUCAGAGACGGAGAAGUGACAGGCCACAGGCAGCCCUCCAACUCGGCAGGUGGCCUGCAACAAUACUGACAGCCCACACACAGAGACAGUAUGGGGAGAUGGGUUUCCCCAGGUGAUUCAGCUACCCACACUUCUGCUAACAGCAAGUCACUCAAUUAACUGUUUUAAUGCUUUUUUUAAUUGAAGAUUUAGCUUUCUAUUUGAAAGGCGGACAGAGAUUGAGAGUCUUCCAUCUGCUGGUUCACUCCACCAGAUGGCUGCAAAGGCCAGGGCUGGGCCAGGCUGAAGCCAGGAGCCUGGACUCCACCUAGGGUGGCAGGAGCCCAAGUACUGGGCCAUCUUCUGCUGCCAUCCCAGGCAUAUUAUCAGGGAGCUAGAUCGGAAGUGGAGCAGCUGAGAGUCGAACUUGUACUCCAAUACGGGCUGACCUUGCAACCAGCAGCUAACCUGGUGCGCCAUAAUACCAGCUCCUGUUUUAACAGUUUUUGAUUGUCUUCUGAGUAUUUAUUGAAUCUGCAGUUCCCCUUUCUGUGCUAUUGACUAUCUCUUCCCUGAAUAAAUUACUCAUUUUUACAUA